UCCCCGUUGUUAUGCAAUUAUGCGGUUUGUCGAAUUGCUCGCUUUUUGGAGGUUUCCAUUUUUCAGAAAAGUCCUCCACACAAGAGGAUGUGCUACAGCUGUGCUGUAAACGCACGUGUUGUACCAUGUUUGUACCACCCUUCCAGGAGACAUGUUCAUACUUUAUGGAAUUAUGCUGUUGCUCAUAAUUAUUUGGGCGAAAUUCUGUGUUAAUUGGCAAACCGGCUUUGAGAGUUUUACACGAGGCCAGAGAGGGACAAAACUGACCAACUUCAAUGUGGAACCGUACUCAAGGCUGUGCGAAUUCCACGGAGUUUGUAUUAACUUUUAGCUGACAGCUUGACUAAUUUGAUGGACCUAUUCCUCCAUGGUUUUAUGUAACCGCAGGAGGUAUUCGAGCCAUCUGUUAUUCUACUUAUUGGAAGGAAUUUAUUGUUCUAAGUUGGGCGAUAACUGUGUUGAGCUUUGAGAGUUCUACAUCGUCGUUGUGGAACUCUUGUCUGUGCGAAUUCCACCGAGUUAGCCUGUCAUGGCCUGAUGAAAAAGUGUAGCUAAUGGAGCCAUUCGAAUACAUGGCCAGGUACGGUAGGGGAGCACAGGGACGGACGACAUGACCGGGGAGGCCGACACGAUCGAGCAUGACGGGGAGAGAGAGCCAACCACACGGCAUGCAUUCAGCCACGCGCCUACACACAGGGGCCCGGGGGCGUGCGUGGGUGCGUGCGUGCGGGUGUUUCAGCAAUGGCGAAUAGUGUUUCUUCAGAUCAAGCCGAUUUUCUUCUUGGAUCAUGGCCCAUGAAAGCUAGAAAUGAACAUGAACUUCUAAUACUUAAGACAUGAUCUUUUGGAGAAAUAUGUUUGAUAUUUUGUCUCAUGAUGAUCAGCAAUAUGUAGGUCAAGAAGGAAGUUUUAAACUUCAAUCGAGAAGUCUUCAAGUUCAUUAUUUGUCUAAUGAGCGAUAUCUCAAUUGACAAGUGUUCAAGAAAGCAAUGUUCAAGCAAGAAAUCUUCAAAUACACAGUGGAUCUUGUCAGAAUGAUGGAGAAUGUGAAGCUUUAGAUGACACUGAUGAUGAAAACAAGGAGGACUUUGCGGAACAUUCCCAGAUGUGGAUCUUGUCAGAAUGAUGGAGAUUGUGAAGCUUUAGAUGACACUGAUGAUGAAAACAAGGAGGACUUUGCGGAAAA